AUUCACCCACCUCAGCCUCCCCAAGUAUUGGGAUUACAGACAUGAGCCACUGUGCCCAGCCUGCUUCCAUUGUUUCUAGUAAGAUGUCAGCCAUAGUUCUUAUUGUUGUAUGUACUGUGAUAUAUCCCUCUCUGCCUUCCCCCUUCCCCCAGCCGCUUUUGAGAUUUUCUCUUUAUUUUUGGUUCUCUGCAGUUUGACAUUUAUGUAUGUGCCUCAGCAUAGUUUUCUUUUUGUUCAUCUUGCUCAGGGUUUCCUUAGCUUAGUGGUGCUUUGGGUUUGUUCACCUUCAAAUUGGGAAGAUGUUGGUCAUUAUUUUUUAAAGUAUUUUUUCUUCUCCAUUCUCUCUCUCCUAUUCUUCCGGGACUUGAAUUAUAUAUAUUAGAUCACUUCAAAUUGUCCCACAGAUCAGUGAUUCUUUAUACAUUUUUAUUUCAAUCUUUCUCUCUUUUUUUCUUUCAGUUGAAACAUACAACUUUUUUGAUGAUACACAAAUGAAGCUUUUGGUGGAUAAAUUGAAGUCAAAACAAAUAACAAAACAGUAUGUCAUUUAUAAUAGACAGGUUCACUGUCAAUUCAGAGGAACCAGUAAAAAAUAUUUCAAUCCAAGCAGCAUGAUUAAAAUCACAAAUAUGUUUUCAGCACAAGAGGACUAUUUAUUUGAUAUUCAUAAGAUGGUUCAGCUUGAAGCAGGUGACUGUCACAGAUAACAUCACUCUGGGUGAGACAUUAUUCAAAACUAGCAGCUGAAAGGAUCCCUUUAUUAUAUGACUAAGUGGAAAAGCAGUAACUUUCAAUUUUCAAUGCCUCCAGCUGCAAAACCAAGAAAUUUCUUGAAGUCUUUUGAGAGCACAUAACCAAUUAGAAUUUGUUCACUAGUUUUAUAACUUUCACUUUCACCGAGAGGUCAUCUGAUUUGCUAAGGCUCUAAUUUUCUUAACACACACUCCAAAUGCAAUGCAUACGUUUGAAAAGGGAAGCUUUAUUGAAUUCUCUAUAGCUGAACACUUCUACUCUGAGAUUGUCAUAGAUGAUCUCAAAUAUAGUAAGGGCAUCAAUAAAAAUUUCUUAUUCCACAUAAGAAUUGUAGAGAUAAUUAAAUAUGUAGACACUUGGGUACUGAGAAGUUUUUUCUUUUUUUAGCAUAUCUGAUUUUCAGCAAAAUUCAAAAUUAUUUUCAAAAUCUCAACCUUGAUUCUUAGCCACCAAAGCCAUAAAGGGUGCACCCCUGCCACUUAAACACAUAGACUACGCCCAUGGCUGUUACAUCUUGCACUUGGCAUGCUUGGUGUGACAUCAUCCUGGAUCACAUUCUCCAGAAACACCUUCAAAACCUCCUGGAUCUCCUCAUAGAUGAGGCCAGAAAUGCUCUUGACACCAUCACACCAAGCAAGAUGCCAGAUAGGAGGCUUGCAGAUAGAUGCCUUGCAGGCUGUCAUACGUAGGACCUUGCAGUGACACUUAGUUCCUUCCUUACCCAGUCCUUUUCCACCUUUGCCUCAGCCAGACAUGACAAAACAGAUGCUUUUUCUUUUUGUGGUUCAGUUUGCAAAAAUUUUAUGACCUGUGUUCAAAUUUCACUGAUCUUUUUUUCUGUGGUGCCCAAUAUGAUGUUAAGGGUACACAAUGAAUUUUUCAUUUCAUAUAUUGUAUUUCCCAUGUCUUCACCUAUUCCUUCUUUCUUUCCUUGUAAAUUCCUAACUAUAUUUAUAGUAGUUGUUUUAAAGUCAUAAGUCUGCUAAUUCCUCUGUCUAGGUCAUCUUGUGGGUCUCCUAUUGAUGAUUUCUUUCUCUUAUGUAUCAGAUUUUUUUUGCAUCUUCCCAUGUCUCAAUAUUUUACCGUAAGGCAAAAAUUGUGUAUAAAUGAUAGUGGAUACUGCUGUAUAAUAUUUUGUGUUUUGUUUUCACAGAACUUUCAAAUCCUUCCUUCCAUUCAGGUUUAUGGGAUAAUGGGUUGUUUGUCCAGUGCCAACUAAGAUGUGAAGACUGGAAUUGGGCUACAGUAUUAACCCCAGCUUCCUGCAUUGUUGCCACUAAGUGGUUCAUCCCUUUGAUACUGUCAGAAUUUAACUGGAAGGAGAUUAGUUGCCACAUGAGUUGGUUUGGAUGACUUUUGGAUUCAACUACAAUUAGGCUUUAGAAUCAGAACACUCAAGACUGCACAAACUUUCUCUAGUUUCUAGCCUCAUGCCCACUGAUACUUCAGGAUACCCCUUUGUCACUUUUGCAGCAAAUUCUUAGAGUGGAGAGGGAAUUGUUGGACUAAAUAAUUUAUGUUUGCAUUAGAGCUCUUCCAAAUUCCAAUUCGUCUUGCCAGCCCAUGCUAUUAUUAAGUAUUCAAUGGAUUUUUUUUUUUGUUCUUUGAAAAAUUUCUCUAUCUAUAGCUAGGCCACUUCUCUACUCACCUAUGCCCAGAGUAGACAUUGGCCUCUAUAUAUAAAAAUGUCCACAACUCUUUACUCAUAUGUAAAGGGCUUGCUAUACUCUGCUGUUUAGUUUAUUAUGCCUAUUUGUAUCUACUUCUCGAUGGCUUUGGGGAUAAGUGUGAGAGUUUUUUUGUUUUAUCUGUUUUUUUUUUUCUUGUUACUCUGGAAGCAGUAGUUUCCACAUUUUAUUAUAUUUUUAUUAGGUGGGAUGUUCUGUAAAUGUCUACUAGGUCUAGAUGGUUUGUAUUGCUGUUGAAGUCAUCUUCUCCUUUUGUAAAAAAUUUUCUGCCUAGUUGUCCUAUCCAUUAUUGAAAGUGGGGCACUGAGGUUUCCAUACAUUAUUGUUGGAUGAUCUGUCUCAUCCUUCAAUCCGAUUUUCUUCUUUUAACUCAUGUUAUAUGCCAUCUACUGCCUCCAUUGUUUCCGAUUAGUCAGGUAUUAAUCUUAUUGGGGUUCUUUGGUAAGUAAUUAUUUUUUUCUUGUCACUUUCAGAUGGUUCUCUUUAUCUUCAGAUCUCAGUAUUUGUGGUUUUUUUCAAUAAAUACAUAAAUUAAUUAUCUUUUAUUUUAAAUUCUGCUGUGGGGGAAAGUAAAGGAUUAAUUUACUCUUACCUCUUAUUUUCCCCUACAGCAUAAUUGACAAAUAAAAAUUAUAUGUGUUUGUAGUAUACAAUUUGAUGGUUGUACAUAUAAAAACUUAUUGUGAAAUGAUUACCUCCAGUUUUAGAUGGAGGAUGGAUACCUCCAGUUUUGUCCUUGCUCAAGAUUGCUUUGACUGUUCAGGGUGUUUUGUGGUUUCAUGCAAAUACUAGGAUUUUUUUUCUGUUUCUAUAAAAAAUGCUAUAAAACUUUGAAAGCAUUGAAUCUGUAGAUUGUUUUGAAUAGUAUAGACAUUUUAACAUUAUCAUUUCUUCCAAUUCAUGAAUAUCUUUUCAUUUAUUUGUGUCUUCACAAAUUUCUUUCAUCAAUGUUUUACUCAAUGGUUUACAUCAAUGUUUAUAGUGUUUAAUGUACAGGUCUUUCACAUCCUUGGUUAAAUUCAUUCCUAAGUAUUUUAUUUUGAUCUAUUGUAAAUGGGAUUCUUUUCUGAAUUUCUUUUUUGGAUAGUUUGUUUCUCUACAGAAAUGAUACUUAUUUUUGUAUAUUUAAUUUGUAUCCUACAGCUUUGCUAAAUUCAUUCAUUCUGUUUUUUUGGUGGAGUUUUUAGGGUUUUCUACAUAUAACAUCAUGUUAUCUGCAAAGAGACAAUUUUAAUUCUUCCUUUUCAAUUUGGAUGCCUUUUCUUUUUCUUGCCUGAUUGCUCUGGCUAGGACUUCCAGUACUUAAUAGAAGUGGCAAGAAUGAGCAUCCUUGUCUUAUUUUUUAUUUUAGAGAAGUUUUCACCAGUGAGUAUGAUAUUAGCAAUGGGCUUGUCUUAUGUGGCCUUUAUUGUGUUGAGGUAUAUUCCUUCUAUACCUAAUUUGUUGAGAAUUUUUAUUAUUACAGGAUAUUGAAUUUUGUCAAUGGCUUUUUUUCUGCAUCUAUUGAGAUGAUCAUAUGAUCUUUGCCUUUCAUUCUGUUAAUGUGGUAUAUCACAUUUAUUGAUUUGCCUAUGUUGAACCAUCCUUGCAUUCCAGGGAUAAAACCCACUUGAUCAUGGCAUAUAAUCUUUUUAAUGUGCUGUUGGAUUCAACUUGCUAUUAUUUUGUUGAGGAGUUUUGCAUUUAUGUUCAUCAGGGAUAUUGGCCUGCAGUUUUCUUUUCUGUUAGUGUCCUUAUAUGGCUUUGGUAUCAGGGUAAUACUGGCCUUGUUUCCAUUUUUAAGAAGAGUUUUGAAAGGACUGGUUAAUUUUUCUUUAAAUGUUUGGAAGAAUUCAGUCAUGAAGCCAUCAGGUCCUGGGCUUUUUUUUUUUUUUUUUUUUUUUUUGAUGUGAGACAUUUCAUUAGUUAUUCAGUAUCUUUAUUUAUUAUUUGUCUUUUCAGAUUUUCUCUUCAUGAUUCAUGGUUGAUAGGUUAUAUAUUCAUAGUAGUUUAUUUUUUUCUAGGUUGUCCAAUUUGUUGACAUUUAACUGUUUAUAGUUGUCUCUUAUGAUCCUUUGUUUUUCUGUGGUAUCAAUUGUAAUGUCUUCUAUUUAUAACUUUGAAUUUUUCUUUUUUUUGGUUAAUUUAGCUAAAGUUUAUCAAUUUUUUUAUAUUUUUUAAACUAUUUCUUUGAUAUUUUUUGUCAUUUUUCUAGUGUCUAUUUCAUUUAUUUCUCCUUUGAUUUUUAUUAUUUCUUUCAUUCUGCUAACUGUGGGCUUAGUUUGCUCUUCUUUUUCUAGUUCUUUGCACUGUAAAGUUAGGUUGUUUAUUUGACAUGUUUUUUAUUCAUGUAGGUGCUAUCACUAUAAACUCUCUUACUAAAACUGCUUUUGUUACAUCCCCUACAUUUUAGUAUGUUGUAUUUUCAUUUUAAUUUGUUUCAAGAUUUAAAAAAUUUCCUUUUUGAUUUAUUAUUUGACCCAUUGUUUAGGAGUGUGUUAUUUAAUUUCCACGUAUUUGUAGAAUUUCAUUUUUCUUGUAUUAUUGGUUUCUAGCUUCACAUCAUUGUGGUUGGAAAAGAUGCUUGCUAUGAUUUCAGUCUUCCUAAAUUUGUGAAGACUUGUUUUGUGGCCUACGAUAUGAUCUAUCCUGGAGUAUGUUCCUUGUGAGCUUGAAAAGAAUGUGUAUUCUGCUGCUGUUGAAUAGAUAUUCUGUAUAUGUCUAUCAUGCCCAUUUGGUUUAUACUUGUUAUUCAAGUAUACUGUUUCAUUAUUGGUUUUUUGUCUGGACGAUCUAUCCAUUGUUGAAUGUGGGAUAUUGAAGUACCCUACUAUUAUUAUAUUGCUAUCUAUUUCUCCCUAUAAUUCUGUUUAUAUUUGUUUUAUAUAUUUAGGUGUUCCAACGUUGGGUGCAAAUAUAUUUAUAAUUAUUACAUCCUUUUGACGAAUGUUUCUGUUUAUCAUUAUGUAGUGACUUUCUUUGUCUCGCGUGACAAUUUUUGACUUAAAAUCUAUCUUGUCUGAUAUAGGUAUAACCACCACUGCUGCUCUUAUUUGGUUACCACUUUGCAUGGAAUAUGUUUUUCCAUUCCUUUACUUUCAAUCUGUAUGUGUCCUUAAAGCUAAAGUGAGUCUCUUGUAGGCAGCAUAUUGUUGGGUCGCUUUUGCUUUUUGUUUUUAAAUCUAGGAAGCCAUUAUAUUUUUGAUUGGAGUCCAUUUAUAUUUAAAGUAAUCACUGAUAGAUAAGGACUUACUAUUGCUGUUUUAUUAAUUAUUUGCUAUUUUGUAGUUCCUUCAUUCCUUUCUUUCUUACUAUCUUCCUUUAUCAUUUGAUAAUUUUUUGUAGUGGCAUGAGAUGUGAUUUAAUUACUUUCUCUUUGUCUUUUGUGUAUCUGCUACAGGUAUUUUCUCUGUGGUUCCUUUGAGGCUUAUAUAAGAUAUUUUAUAGUUUUAUCAGUGUAUUUUAAUCUGAUAAUGACUUCAGUUCAACCACAUUCAAGAACUCUACACUUUAAAAUUUCCUUCCCCCCAUUUUGUUACUGAUGUCGCAGUUUACAUCUUUUAUAUAUUGUGUUUCAUUAUGUAUUCAUUAAUAUAUUAUUGAAACUAUAGUUAUUUGUAAUACUUUUGUUUCUAAAUGUAUAUACUAGAGUUAAAAGUGACUUACAUACCACCAUUACAGUAUUAGAAUAUUCUGAAUUUGACUAUAUUCUUACUUUUACAGUGAGUUUUAUACUUUCAUAUGUUCUCACGUCAUUAUUUUAGCAUCCUUUCAUCUCAACUUGAAGAGCUACAUUUAGUAUUUCUUAUACUGCAGGUCUAGGUUGAUGAACAACCCCAGCUUUUGUUUGUCUGGCAAAGUCUUAAUCUCUCCUUCAUUUGUAAAGGACAGCUUUGCUGGGUAUAGUCUUUUUGGUUGAAGGGGCUUUUCCUCCCUUUAGCACUUUGAAUAUAUUAUCCCACUCUCUCGGCCUGCAAGGCUUCUGUUGAGAAGUCUGCUGUUAAUCUUAUGGUGGCUCCUUUGUAUGUGAUGAGUUGCUUUUCUGUUGCUUUCCAAGUUUUGUUUUUCACUUGACAAUUUGACUAUAAUUUGUCUUGGUGAAGAUCUCUUUAUAUUUCAUCUAUUUGAGGUUCUUUGAGCUUCAUGGAUCUUGAUGUUCAUAUACCUCUCCAGAUUUGGGAGUUUUCUGUCAUUAUUUAUUUAAAGUCUUCUUAUCUUAAAUUAUUAUAUAUACAUACUAGUUGUACAUAUUUAUGGGGUAUAUGUGAUAUUUUGAUAUAAGCAUACAAUGUAGAAUGAUUAAGUCAGAAUAAUUGGGGUAUCCAUCACCUCAAGCAUUUAUCAUUUCUUUGUUUAAGGAACAUUCCAAUUCUACUCUUUUAGUUACUUUGAAACAUACAAUAAAUUAUUGUUAACUAUUGUCACUCUACUGUGCUACCAAACAUUAGAUCUUAUUCAUUCUAUUUAACUGUGUUUUUAUGCCCAUAAAAUGAUUUAUAAACCAUUCCCUGCUUAUCCCCCUCUUUCCCACUACCCUUCCCAGCCUCCAUUGGAUACCCCAAUUAUUCUGAUUGUAGAUCUCCAUUUCUUUAGGGUCAUUACUAGUGCUUAAUUUUGUCCCUUUGGUGGUGUCAUGUGCCCCUGAUUAUUUGUGAUUCUUGUGGCCUGAGUUAGUGUUUGCACAUUUGAAGAAGUAGGCAUCUCUUUGAGUCUUUACAGACUGGCUUCAGCAGGUAAAGCACUUUAACAUUCAGCCCACCAAGAGAUUCUGGGCAGAUCUUAUAGCGGGGUCUGUGGGUGGGCUUGCUGCUGGAGCCCUUAGUAGAGCUUUCAUGAUGCCUGGACCAGUGGGUGGGUGAGCCUGGUACCUCAGUCCACUGAGGCACACCUACGUAUUAGAUCUGCAUGGGCAGGCCUGGUGCCUGAGUUUGCAGGAGGAGGUCUGGAGCCAGGGUCUAUGUGUACAGGCCUGGAUCCUGGGUCUGCAAGGGCAGGCCUGUUGCCUGUGUGGGGGCUGGCUUGAGACCUGGUUCCACUGGGGCCCAGCCUGGCAUUGAGGUAGGCUUUGAGCCUGAGACUGUGGGUGUCAGCAAGUAGAGAGUGGGGUUGAAGCCUGGGUCCAGUGAGUCUGAUCUGGAGUGUGGGGUCAUGGGGGUUGGUCUGGCGCUAGGGAAAGUGCUCACCUGCAGUGCAGGGUCAUGGGCUCCAGCCUAUCACGAGGGUAGGCCUGGAGCUGGGACCAUAGGGACUGGUCUGCCACCAGUGCUCACUGGGAUGGUCCUGGUGCUAGGGUCUGCAGCAAAUAUGGGUGCUCAUUUCCCUGUUUUUCCUCCACAUCAAGGGUAUCUCUUUCUAGACUGCACUGCCUGUGCUUGGGGAAGGCUGUCAUGGGUAAUGUAACACUGUCCUGCCCUGUUCAGUGUAUCUUUUCUUAGAUCUGUGCUCCACGCAGGUACUCUAAUCCUUCAUCUGAAUUCCUAGCUGUUGUGAAGUUAUUUUUAUGCAUGGAUAGUUAUUACAAAUUGAUGUUUCUGUGAGGGAACAAGUACUGGAAACCCCUAUCCCUCCAUCUUGUUGCUGUCAAUCUAGGUCUCCAACAUUUGUGUUUAUUUUACUUAAAGUUUACUGAGCUUCUUGGAUGUAUUGAUUAAUGUUUUUCACCAAACUUGGGAAGUUUUCAGCCAUUAUUUCUCCUCCUUUCUCUCUCUCCUCUCCUUCUCAUGCAUAUGUUGAUGUGAUUAAUGAUGUCUCACAUUUCCACGAGGCUCUGUUUAUUUUUCUUCAUUUUUUUUCUCUCUGUUCUUCAGUCUACAUAAUCUUUAUAAAUAUAACUACAAAAUUGUUGACUCUUUCUUUUGCCUGCUGAGAGCUAAUGUGUCCUCACACUCCAAAGAGAGAGCAAGCAAGCUCUUUAGUGUCUCUUCUUGUAAGAGCGCUAAUUCUAUCAUGAAAGUUCCACCCUUGUGACCUCAUCUAAACCUAAUUACUUCUGAAAGAUUCCAUCUGUAAAUACCAUCGCGCUGGGGGUUAGGGCUUCAACAUAUGAAUAUUGCGGGGACACAGACAUUCAAUCCAUAAUAGCAAGUUUCAGUGGAUUUCAGAAGCCCCUAAGGCAGAAAAGCAAAAGCACCUUAUUUUUUGUCCACUUGACCUGUGUCUUAUGUUGGACUGAAAUGUAGGUCUCCUAAUUUUAGUGUAGUUUUGUAUAUUUCUCCCUAUAUAUCUUUAACUUUCUGAUAUAUAAAGGUAGCUGAAAUACAACAUCAUAAUUUUUACUGGAAAAUAGCCACAAUGAAGGAACACCACAAUUUCACCAUGAAAACCAGCACAACCUUACACAGAUGACAAACAUUUCCCCUCAAAACUUGUUAAACUGUAUUUGGGCUGACCAAAUUAACCAGAGUUAUUCUAUUUAUGGGGGAGCAGGAAGUAACUUGAUAAAAUGCUUUGAGUUUAUAUAUCAUGUCAAAUAAAUAGCAUAAUUUUAAAGGAAAAAAA